rnacentral:rRNA from 1 species
UUGGAGGGCAAGUCUGGUGCCAGCAGCCGCGGUAAUUCCAGCUCCAAUAGCGUAUAUUAAAGUUGUUGCAGUUAAAAAGCUCGUAGUUGAAUUUCGGGGUUAGUAGGUUGGUCAUGCCUCCGGUAUGUACUGAUCUCACUGAUUCCUCCUUCCUUAUGAACCGUAAUGCCAUUAAUUUGGUGUUGCGGGGAAUUUGGACUGUUACUUUGAAAAAAUUAGAGUGUUUAAAGCGGGCUAACGCUUGAAUACAUUAGCAUGGAAUAAUGAAAUAGGACGUCCGAUCUUAUUUUGUUGGUUUCUAGGAUUGACGUAAUGAUUAAUAGGGAUAGUUGGGGGCAUUAGUAUUCAAUUGUCAGAGGUGAAAUUCUUGGAUUUAUUGAAGACUAACUACUGCGAAAGCAUUUGCCAAGGAUGUUUUCAUUAAUCAAGAACGAAAGUUAGGGGAUCGAAGACGAUCAGAUACCGUCGUAGUCUUAACCAUAAACUAUGCCGACUAGGGAUCGGAUGAUGUUAAUUUUUUAAUGACUCAUUCGGCGCCUUACGGGAAAC